UCUCGCCCAUUUCCAAUCUCCCAAUUGACUAGACCUGACGGUCUCGAGUACAAAUCCAUCAGCCCCCAAGUGUACGCGCGAGAAGCGACUAGCAGCUUUCUGAAUGGCGCCCAAGAAAUCAGCAAGCAAGGGGAAAGGCAAAGUGGGCGAAAGCAGUGAUGCGACACUUGAUGAUGGUUGGAGAGUAAGUGCUCAAAAUCCCACAUCCUUUCCCUUGUCAAUGAGUGCAUCCUGCAGCCUCGGGAAAUAGUGCAGCGGCGAUAUGCGCUAGGUCAAAACUGCCCAUACGAAGAAACAAAUGAAACCAUCACCUUUUCUGCCUUUGUUGAGCGCGGUUUUGCAAUUCGUUCUAGCGAUUUCUUUCGCAGUCUUCUCUUCCGCUGGGGGAUCCAAGCGCAUCACUUGACCCCAAACUCUGUUCUUCACAUCUCAAUCUUUUCGCAUCUCUGCGAAGCUUUUCUUGAGAUCGAACCCCAUUUUGAUCUAUUCUAGCACCUUUUUCAUUUGGGACCUCAACCUAGCGCCAACAACAUAGCCGAAGUCGGAGGAGCUGGCUUGCAGUUGCAUCAGGGGAUGGACAAGAAGUAUAUUCCAUAUGCUCUAUCCAAGAAGGUGAUCGACUGGAAGGCUGGUUGGUUUUAUAUUGGAAAUCAUGCUCCAGAGCUGCCCAAGAGAACCCCAGGACCUCCAAAAAUCCGUCCGGAAUGGAACUCGAAUGGUCGGAAUCUAAAUCAGAUUAAUAAGCUGCUGGAGAAUUUCAAAGAUCUGAAAGAGGAACAUCUGACCGGAGCAUCCGUUGUUUUCUCUUGGAUUUCCCGGCGAGUGCAACCUCUUCAGAAGUGCAAUAGCUUCGGCUUUAGUACAAAGGGACAAAAGAUCCUUCCCGCUUCACAUCCGAGAAGAUUACUAAGGAUGAGGCGAUGCGUCGAGUAUGUCGGGUACUUGAUGGGGUUCAUGGGGUUUCAGUUCUUCCAGAGAGGUUCAACAUCAAGUAUAGUCCCAGAGAGGUAGGAAAAAAGUAAUUGACUAGUGUAUAAUCGAACACUGUCCAAUGUAGAUCUAAAUCUGUAUUCUUUGUCGUGUAGAUUGAUAGAAAUAUCUAUCAGAGUAGUCCUCCGAUGCCUGAAGUUACUGUUCCCACAUCUCUUCUUUCAAGUGCGCAUAAAAAACUUAUCCACAUGUUAGCCAAUCAUGAAUCAAAUGCUGAUGCUGUAUCGACUUUAUCUGCUGCAAGCGUGGAAGAAGAUACAGGAGCAGGCCAUAGGAAUCAAACUCCAAGGCUUGAGGAGAAUCCAGGGACUGAAAACCCUGAGGUUCACAAUCGGUGCUCCAAAAGAGCAAGGCACCUGAUGCACCUAGAGGAACUAGUCUGAGGCAGAUAAGACAAAGGAUUGAGGAAGCCAGGAUCGAGACUGAGACCAUCCUGCCGGAACCAAGUUCUUCGACAAGUGGAAGAAUAGGAGCACCUUUAGUACCCGAAAGGAGUACCAGCCCUCCAUCGUCGGGACAGUCCACGUCCGCGAGUGGUGCGACCAUCGCCUCGACUUGGCAAGAGACACCAACAGGGGAACGGCUAGCAACCUCCGCUGGGGAAAAAGCAGUUUCGAGUGCUUUGGUAGCUAUUGCAAUUCCAAAGUUACUCAAGGCAAGGAAACUGCCAGUGAAGAGGUCGAGCUAAUAAGUCGUCCUUGCUUUUUCUGACUCUUCUGUUGCUUCGAUUCAUCGCUUUUGCUUAUGCGAGUAGUUGCAUUUGCUAUGUUGUAUUUAGCAAAGCAGCCGAUCUGGGUCUGGGUGAUCUUACUCCGGCCACCACUACGCCAGCCCCCGAGCCCCUCCCAGCUAGGCUGAUGCCGACGAUAGAGCCCCAAACUAAAGCUAGUCGGGAUCUUCUUGGGGUCUCUACUAAGGAGGUUCCUACGGGUGGGGCCAAGGAGAGUGAUCAGAGAAGAGCAAUGGCAACACCUAAUAGAACUGACUCUCCAAUUACAGUCGGUGCAACAGGGUUCGAAACAGUCCUGCAGCAACCAGCAAGCGAAGAAUGAAGUGCCGCAGGAGCUGGUGAAGAUCCAGAGCAUCUGCCAACGAUGGAGUAUGCAGCCCCGAGUGACCUUGGGGAGGCUGUACCUCUAUCAGCAGAUGAGCUGAAGUUAUUCCAUAAUAAUAUAAAAGGAUGCCAGAUGUCUUUAACUGUAAGUUACUUGAUCGAGUACUUAUCUCUAUUGUUGACUGGUUAUCUUAUGUGCCUUCUGUAUGCAGCAACUAGCCGACCAAGCAGCUGCCAGGUCCUUUGAACUGAAAGGAGUUGAGGAAGAACUGCAGUUGGUGGUCAACAAGGAGAAGCAGCUGGACGCCAAGAUGCAAGAAGUCGCUGCCCUCCAAAUUGAGCUUGAAAAGGUCAAGCAGCACUCUGCCCAGGAGAACGAUCUCGUGAAAAGGAAUUAACAGAUCUUGCUAAGGACAAGAAGGCUCUCAAGGAGAGAAACAAGUCACUGCAAGAGAAGAAUAAAUCGAUUGCCAAGAAUCAUAGAGAUGAUGUCGAAAGGUUGACCAAGAUGAAAAAUGAUGCUGAUGUACAACUGGUGCAAUGCAUGCAACAAAUUAAAGACUUGGCAGCUGAAAAGGAUCUCCAUGAAAAGGAACUUGCAGAGUUGAGGACAGUUGCCCAGGUUGUGGUGGACAUGGUUGACCUAGUCGAGGAUGGGGUAGCCACGAGUAGAUCUUUGGUGGUGUGACUUCGCGAAGCUCCACAGAAGAUUACCAGCUAUCUAUAUGAGACGACAAAGCAAUAUGUGCGACAUGUCCUAGGACUCGUGAAGUCCUGCUGGCUUGCUGCGAAUCUUGCUCCACUUGGCGAGGGCCUGAGAAACCACACGAUCUAGCCCAUGCCUUCGACUCUGCAGAACAGAGAAAGGUUAGGAACACGAGGUGGUUGGUUAGGCAUGAGGGCCUAGGAAACCACUUGAUCUAUCCUGUGCCUUUGACUCUAUGGAAUAGAGAAAGGUUAGGAACACGAGGUGGUUGGUAGGGUAAACACCCUAUUAGGCACGAGGUCUUAGGAAACCACUCAAUCUAUCCAUUGCCUUUGACUCUGCAGAAUAGAGAAAGGUUAGGAACAUGAGGUGGUUUGUCCUUUACAAGGACAUGGGCUAAUCAUUCUUGACUGCCGGAUAGGCACGAGGGCCAUUGAAUAGUCGAAGUAGUUUUUGAGUUGCAAAGGAACUCGACGGGAGUAGAUAAGUGUAGGCCAUAUUGUAACAGUACUGGGAAAGCAGU